rnacentral:rRNA from 1 species
CAGUAGCCGCGGGAAUACAGAGGGUGCGAGCGUUAAUCGGAUUUACUGGGCGUAAAGCGUGCGUAGGCGGCUUCUUAAGUCGGAUGUGAAAUCCCUGAGCUUAACUUAGGAAUUGCAUUCGAUACUGGGAAGCUAGAGUAUGGGAGAGGAUGGUAGAAUUCCAGGUGUAGCGGUGAAAUGCGUAGAGAUCUGGAGGAAUACCGAUGGCGAAGGCAGCCAUCUGGCCUAAUACUGACGCUGAGGUACGAAAGCAUGGGGAGAAAACAGGAUUAGAUACCCGGGUAGUCCCUGUCUCUUAUAC